rnacentral:rRNA from 1 species
UACGGGGGGGGCAAGCGUUGUUCGGAAUUACUGGGCGUAAAGGGCUCGUAGGCGGCCAACUAAGUCAGACGUGAAAUCCCUCGGCUUAACCGGGGAACUGCAUCUGAUACUGGAUGGCUUGAGUUCGGGAGAGGGAUGCGGAAUUCCAGGUGUAGCGGUGAAAUGCGUAGAUAUCGGGAGGAACACCUGCGGUGUAGACGGCUUACUGGACCGUAACUGACGCUGAGGCACGAAAGCGUGGGGAGCAAACAGG